rnacentral:rRNA from 1 species
UACGUAGGGUCCAAGCGUUAUCCGGAAUCACUGGGCGUAAAGAGUGCGUAGGCGGGUAUUUAAGUGCAAUGCGAAAUUCUGGGGCUCAACCCCACGAACUGUAUUGCAUACUGGAUACCUUGAGGAUAUGAGAGGCAAGUGGAAUUACCGGUGUAGCAGUGAAAUGCGUAGAGAUCGGUAGGAACACCAGAGGCGAAGGCGGCUACCUGGACAAUUGCUGACGCUCAGGCACGAAAGCGUGGGGAGCAAAAGGG